AAUAAAGAGAAAUGUGAUGUUCAGUGAUCCAUUUUGCAGGCAUGCUUCUGAUGUGAGUUCAGGAGAAGACACUGGCAAGGACAGCAAAGAACAGGAGAACACUCUAGCUUCCCUGAUAGCAUUCAAGGUGCUGUCCAAAGUGAGUUUUCCUCAAGCAGAGAGAUGCACUGCCUCUUUUAUGCUUUGUUUUUCUUACUUGCCUACUCUAUUUACACCUUCUAAGUAAGGACCAAUCAGCAAAACCCCAAGAGGGUCACUGUCAUGAAAAUAAUUAUGAACUGGCUGAGUGCUUGCAAUGUUUAUUAUUUAGGUUUUUAAGAACAGAUAAUUAAAGGCCCAAGAGAAUUUAGUCUCUCCCAAUUGUAAAAGUGGGGUCUUAUAGAAACCCACAGAGCGCUUGGGGUUGUACACUUACUUCUAAAAGUUCUCUUAAUAAAUCACUGCCCUGGUGCACUCCCUGGGGUAUUUCAUGACCAAGUGAAAUCACUUACUGUUUCAAAUUUGCAUUUUUCCUGAGUUUGCAUAUUUUUCUUGCAUGUGCUUUGUUACCAAUGUACCAAGUCCUUAUACAUUUGGACUGCAUUUACCGCAGUUUGGAAUGGUUUCUCAGAAAUGGGACAUUAAAAUCCUGGAGUGUGACACUGACACGUGGAAAGAGCUUCCUUUGUAAGCUGCUCAGGCAUGCUGAGAAUUAGUGUAGAAAUGAUUUUUUCCUUAAUUUUCUUGGAUAGCAACCUAUGUAGGAUCUUAUAAUUAUGUGUAGGAAUUCAUUAAAGAAACUCUCUCCAUUGCUAGAAAUCCAAGCUGGUAGUGAGGAGAGAGCUGUGUGAUUUGUUGCAGCAGAAGUAUUAUGGAAAUAUUUACUAAAUAUCUUCCAUGUGCUGGGCAUUGAGUGAAACACUUUCAUAUCCCUUGUAACAUGUGUCUUAGUCUAAGGUAAUACUUUAAUGUAAUUGUAACAAAUGGAUAAAAGGGGAAUUGUCGUCAUUUUACAGAUGAAACAUUAGAGACUGUAGGAAACUAGGCCCAGAACAGUUAAACAGAGUAGACAUAACCUCUUACCACUUUAUCUGCUACUAUGUAACAAAUCACCCUAAAAUUUAGUGUCUUAAAACAACAAAAACAAA
ensembl:lncRNA CASC19 cancer susceptibility 19